rnacentral:misc_RNA from 1 species
UACGUAGGGGACAAGUGUUGUCCGGAAUUAUUGGGCGUAAAGGGCGCGCAGGCGGUUUCCUAAGUCUGAUGUGAAAGCCCACGGCUCAACCGUGGAUGGUCAUUGGAAACUGGGGAACUUGAGUACAGGAGAGGAGAGUGGAAUUCCACGUGUAGCGGUGAAAUGCGUAGAUAUGUGGGGGAACACCAGUGGCGAAGGCGGCUCUUUGGCCUAUAACUGACGCUGAGGCGCGAAAGCGUGGGGAGCAAACAGG